UACGGAGGGUGCAAGCGUUAUCCGGAUUCACUGGGUUUAAAGGGUGCGUAGGCGGGCAGGUAAGUCCGUGGUGAAAUCUCUGAGCUUAACUCAGAAACUGCCAUGGAUACUAUUUGUCUUGAAUGUUUGUGGAGGUAAGCGGAAUAUGUCAUGUAGCGGUGAAAUGCUUAGAUAUGACAUAGAACACCAAUUGCGAAGGUAGCUUACUACACAAAUAUUGACGCUGAGGCACGAAAGCGUGGGGAUCAAACAGG
rnacentral:rRNA from 1 species